rnacentral:lncRNA from 1 species
GCAUGUUGUGAAGUGCUCUUUGGGGCAUUCCUAAGAAUUCAGACUUUUCUUCCAUUGAGGAUGUGACAAAGUUGAAGGUUGUUUUUUGUUUUGUUUUGUUUUGUUUUUUGUUUUGUGUGUGUGUGUGUAUGUGUGAGUUUUUUGAUAGGAGACAUAAUAAAAUUGUAUUUUAGAACUAUGUUAAAAAUCCUAAUGUUGACUCCCUAAAUGACUAUGUAAUUAGCUUAGUUUGUUGACACUAUACCUAGAGAAAGUCAGUAACCUCAUGUAUAUAUAAACAAGUCUUUGAAAAGUGUAACACUUUCUAAGAAGAAAGGGUCCAGGAAGGUGGAAGAGUAGGAAGCAACGGAAAUGCUCUUGCAGAGAUGGUUGUCUAGGGUGGAACUUUCAUUCUUUUGAAGGCAGAGUUGCUGAAUAUUUUUAGCAAAAGUCACAAGAUAAUUAAAACUAAACCAAAAAGACAAGGAAGAAUAGGCUAUUCAAACAUAAACACAACAUAACAUAAACAACAGAAACUAUCUCAUUAAAAGAUAAAAUGACAGGUUUGAGACUCUCGAAAACAAAUAUUAAAGAUGCUUAUAGAACAACAGGAAGGGGUAGAAAAGAUAAACAGUAC